rnacentral:rRNA from 1 species
AUACGUAGGGGGCGAGCGUUGUCCGGAAUGAUUGGGCGUAAAGGGCGCGUAGGCGGCGCGGUAAGUCUGGAGUGAAAGUUCUGCUUUCAAGGUGGGAAUUGCUUUGGAUACUGCCGCGCUUGAGUGCAGGAGAGGUUAUCGGAAUUCCCGGUGUAGCGGUGAAAUGCGUAGAGAUCGGGAGGAACACCAGUGGCGAAGGCGGGUAACUGGACUGCAACUGACGCUGAGGCGCGAAAGUGUGGGGAGCAAACAGGAUUAGAUACCCUGGUAGUCCACACUGUAAACGAUGAAUGCUAGGUGUAAGAGGUAUCGACCCCUUUUGUGCCGGAGUCAACACAAUAAGCAUUCCGCCUGGGGAGUACGGCCGCAAGGUUGAAACUCAAAUGAAUUGACGGGG